rnacentral:rRNA from 1 species
GACUUCAAAGUUUGUGUGCAAGUAGAAGGUGAAAGCAGGGUGAAAACAGUAAUAUGGUGUAAUGGUAAAAAUCAGCUGGAUUAUGCACAUUUCGGUGAUGUGGUUACUUUCGACACCACUUACAGGACCAACCUGUAUAACAUGCCAUUUGGGUUUUUUGUUGGUGUGAAUAACCAUUUCCAGUCUAUUAUUUUUGGCGGCGUCCUCAUGGUUGAUGAAAAGACUCCCACAUUUGAAUGGGCAUUCAGAAACUUUAUUGACUUGAUGGACGGGAAACAUCCUACUACUAUAUUGACAGGUCACAUUAUAAAAGUUGUCUUCAUACAUUGUUGUAGUUUGUCAGGUUAUACAUAUGCUAUUAUAUGUUCGCCUUAG